rnacentral:rRNA from 1 species
GUUUGCGAUCAUACCAGCACUAAUGCACCGGAUCCCAUCAGAACUCCGCAGUUAAGCGUGCUUGGGCGAGAGUAGUACUAGGAUGGGUGACCCCCUGGAAGUCCUCGUGUUGCAACCC